rnacentral:rRNA from 1 species
UACGGAGGAGGCAAGCGUUAUCCGGAAUUAUUGGGCGUAAAGCGUCCGUAGGUGGUUGGCCAAGUCUGCUGUCAAAGGGUGGGGCUUAACCUCAUAAAGGCAGUGGAAACUGGCGAGUUAGAGUGCGGUAGGGGUAGUGGGAAUUCCCUGUGUAGAGGUGAAAUGCGUAGAGAUUGGGAAAAACAUCGGUGGCGAAAGCGCCCUGCUGGGCCUGCACUGACACUGUGGGAUGAAAGCUAGGGGAGCGAAAGGG